UAUUUCUAGGAAAACAAAAUUCCCUUCUCAUCAGAAUGCUGUCUACUUUAAUUAAUAUGAAGUAUUAUUCAAGAUAGAAACAACAAAAUUUCUAUGCUUAGCAUGCAUUGAAACCUUAUUAUUACAAAACAGCAUCUGUUUCUUAGAGAACUGAUGAUAUCCAGGAGUCAGAAAUUCACGUUACAGCCUCAGUAUUUAACUGUGAGGUGAUUUUGACUAAACCAUUGGACUUCUGAACUUUUCUUGGUUAAUAAUAUAUCAAAACAGAGUUUAAAAAUAGCCCCUCUCAUUAUAUGUAUUUAGUCAACAAUUAUGGAGUCCUUAAAAAAUGCAGAUGUCACCUUUUCAUGUUGGUUACUAGAGAUCACAUCUUAACUCUCUUUAAGGAUGAGUUUUACUUACAGCUAACUAGACCAACAAGAGAAAUGAAUGUGAAGUUACACUUACUCUUUGCCAACCUACCACUUUAUGGUAUUCUUUUAAAGACUUUUUUUGGCUGGAAAAGUUUAUGUGAGCUCUUGAGGUUAGAAAGCUUAAGUCAUCUUGGUAGGCAGGAUAUUUCUUCUGAUAACAUAUAUUCUUUUCUGAGAAUGCAUUUUGGGAAAUGUAGAUUUUCACUGUAAAUCCUUCAUUGUUUGAAGAACUCUGUGCCAGUAUUACAUUUCAGGCAAGACUAAUUUUAGCCAGGUUCAUUAAAGUAUUCCCUGUGUUCUCUCCAGUAAUUUCAGCUGGUUCCUUUUUAUGCCCUCUUGACACAGUCACAUUCUACAGUGUACAGAAAAUAACCUGCUGUCUGUAGAAGUGGUGAAUGGUUUCAUGAUUCCCUUCUUUUUAGUGUGGGUGAGUUUUCUUCACUCUUUUUCUGUUGCCUGCAUCCUCGGCCAUCAUGGAUGUUUUGCUUUCUCUCUUGCAGAUGACACAAUUGGUACUGCCUGGCAUGGUGGAAAGAUCCAAAGGGGCUAUUCUGAACAUUUCAUCUGGCAGUGGCAUGCUCCCUGUCCCACUCUUGACCAUCUAUUCUGCAACCAAGACUUUUGUAGAUUUUUUCUCUCAGUGCCUCCAUGAGGAGUAUAGGAGCAAGGGCGUCUUUGUGCAGAGUGUUCUGCCAUACUUCGUAGCUACAAAACUGGCUAAAAUCCGGAAGCCAACUUUGGAUAAGCCCUCUCCGGAGACGUUUGUGAAGUCUGCAAUUAAAACAGUCGGCCUGCAAUCCCGAACCAAUGGAUACCUGAUCCAUGCUCUUAUGGGCUCGAUAAUCUCAAACCUGCCUUCUUGGAUUUAUUUGAAAAUAGUCAUGAAUAUGAACAAGUCUACACGGGCUCACUAUCUGAAGAAAACCAAGAAGAACUAAGCAUUGAUAACUGCAUUGUAACUUGGCCAGAUGCUCCAGCAUAUGCACGUUCACUGCAAAGCACCCUACUGGUUUUGAAAAUCUGACCUUGUGAUUUCAAUAGUUAUUAACAUGACUAAAUAUUAUCUUAAUUAAGAGGAAAAUAGAAGUUGCUUUUAGGGGUUUCUGACAUAUAUUCUGGAUACUAUCCGAGGUAAUUUUGAAGUUUAAUAUAAAUGCUCAUAUCAAAUGAAUAUAGAACUAAUAUUGUCGGGAACAGCUAAUAGAAAGGAAUACUAUUAUAGCAAAUCACAGAAUGAUAGACUUAAGCAUAAAACUUGGCAGUUUUAUCUGCUUCAAAAUGCCAUUGAUCAUUAUUCCUGUAUUUUCUCUGAAACUGAUUAUAAAAACCAAUGUCCAGCUACUCUUUUGUUUUUGACACUUGAAGAAAUGGAGAUCGAUUUGAUUUGUUUAUAAGCAGACACACUGCAAUUUACAAAGAUCUCUUUACGGUUUUAUAAAAUUAUCUUCCAGUUUGUACAUUUAUAUGGAAUUGUUCUUUAUCAAGGGUAGCUAAUGACAUGAAAAUAAUUGUGAAAUAUGGAAUUAUUUCUGACACAUGAAGCCCACUAAACUAUGCUUUCUUAUAAUGCAUAUUUCUUCUCAGUUUAAAUGUAUGUAAAUAUCGAAGCUAUAUGGUAUGAUUUAUAAAGAUAAAUGGGCCAAAGUGUACAUUGAGACUGGUAGCCAUCUAUGGUACCACUGAAACCCUGACCCAGAAAAGUGGCUUGCUUGGACACCCAGCUGCCUUUGUUUCUGCAUUAAACCAAUAUUGAUCACACAUAUGACACAGGCUAGUCCUAUAAAAGUAAUGACUUCAUAGAAAUGGCAUUAUAAUUUUUAAGUUGAUACUCUACAGGUAGCUAUUGAUAUAAUUAGUUUUAAUAAAACAUGCUGCAACCAUGGUAUACAACAAAAAUACAUUUCUUUGGUGAUUGAAAUUAAGGCCGUAUUUACAAUGACUUAAUAUAAGACUGACUUUUAUCCUGCUUCAUAACUUGUAUGGAGAACUCACCAAGAAAGAAUUCAAUACUGUGAAAUAUGCAGCAAGAAGAUUGGUCUUUACCUAGGCUGUGUUUCCUAAGCUCUGAGUUUUAAGCACCAGUAGAUUUGUAUU
rnacentral:sRNA from 1 species